AGCGAACGCUGGCGGCAGGCUUAACACAUGCAAGUCGAACGGGCACUUCGGUGCUAGUGGCAGACGGGUGAGUAACGCGUGGGAACGUGCCUUUCGGUUCGGAAUAAUCCAGGGAAACUUGGACUAAUACCGGAUACGCCCUUCGGGGGAAAGAUUUAUCGCCGAAAGAUCGGCCCGCGUCUGAUUAGCUAGGUGGUGAGGUAAAGGCUCACCAAGGCGACGAUCGGUAGCUGGUCUGAGAGGAUGAUCAGCCACAUUGGGACUGAGACACGGCCCAAACUACUACGUGGGGCGGCAGUGGGGAAUAUUGGACCAUGGGCGCAAGCCUGAUCCAGCCAUGCCGCGUGAGUGAUGAAGGCCUUAGGGUUGUAAAGCUCUUUUGUCCGGGAAGAUAAUGACUGUACCGGAAGAAUAAGCCCCGGCUAACUUCGUGCCAGCCGCCGCCGUAA
rnacentral:rRNA from 1 species